UGUUUCUGGAGAUCCCUCUUUGGAGAAGCUUUCCCCUGCAAACCUGGAAUCUUCUGAUACUGGUUGCUGGAUCUUGUUGAAUCAAUCUCUGUUGCCUCAGUUAAUCCAUGCCACAGUUGCAGCAGAUGGAAGCUCCUGCAGAAGGUGACACGAAGGGACUCUGGCAUUCAGGCCUAUGUCCUCAGAUUUGGUGACACAGCAAAAUCCUCUUUCCGCGUGGGAUGGCAGGUUGAGAAGCUGAUCUGGAUGCAACUUAUGCAUGCUGGGAACUUCUCAGAAAUUGUUGCACUUGUGAACGUGGAUACAGAAUAGGCUGCAUAGAGUCAAAGCUCCCUCCUGGGCUGCGAAGAAUGGCAGCGAGAAACAUUAAUAGCUUCUUCUGAAUGAGCAAGUGUGAAUGCUCGGAAGCCCAAUUAGUCUGUGACUUCUACAGAGGCCUCCCACAGAGGAGGACAAAAACAUGGAGCUGAAUGGGACAGAGGAUGAGAAAAGAACAAAAACUAAUGUUCUGCAGCUGAGCAAGCCCCUUAUUUGAGUCAGUGUGAGACCCAGGAGUCUAUGAACCUGCAGGACUUUUGUGAAGGAGUCUGACUCAGCUCGGUGGAGGUCCUGGCAGAAAGCCGGGGUGUGGAAGAGUCACACCAGUAGGUUGUCCUUUGCUUUGUCUUUGUCCUCCUUCUCCUUCUUUCUCUCUCUCCUCUUCCUCUUCCUUUUCCUCCUUCCUCCAGCUCCUAAAUCCCCACCUUCCCUUGACCCCCCCUCCUUUCCUUCUCCCCAUCAUGCAUUGCAUGC
rnacentral:lncRNA from 7 species